GGAACGGUGCGGGGUUGCUUACCAUGCAGUCGAACGCUGAAGCUUGGGUGCUUGCAUCUGGGUGGAUGAGUGGCGAACGGGUGAGUAAUACGUGAGUAACCUGCCCUUGACUCUGGGAUAAGCCUGGGAAACUGGGUCUAAUACUGGAUACUACAUUCUCUCGCAUGGGGGUGUGUGGAAAGGGUUUUACUGGUUUUGGAUGGGCUCACGGCCUAUCAGCUUGUUGGUGGGGUAAUGGCCUACCAAGGCGACGACGGGUAGCCGGCCUGAGAGGGUGACCGGCCACACUGGGACUGAGACACGGCCCAGACUCCUACGGGAGGCAGCAGUGGGGAAUAUUGCACAAUGGGCGAAAGCCUGAUGCAGCGACGCCGCGUGAGGGAUGACGGCCUUCGGGUUGUAAACCUCUUUCAGCACGGAAGAAGCGAAAGUGACGGUACGUGCAGAAGAAGCGCCGGCUAACUACGUGCCAGCAGCCGCGGUAAUACGUAGGGCGCAAGCGUUGUCCGGAAUUAUUGGGCGUAAAGAGCUCGUAGGCGGUUUGUCGCGUCUGCUGUGAAAGCCCGGGGCUUAACCCCGUGGUGUGCAGUGGGUACGGGCAGACUAGAGUGCAGUAGGGGAGACUGGAAUUCCUGGUGUAGCGGUGAAAUGCGCAGAUAUCAGGAGGAACACCGAUGGCGAAGGCAGGUCUCUGGGCUGUUACUGACGCUGAGGAGCGAAAGCAUGGGGAGCGAACAGGAUUAGAUACCCUGGUAGUCCAUGCCGUAAACGUUGGGCACUAGGUGUGGGGGACAUUCCACGUUUUCCGCGCCGUAGCUAACGCAUUAAGUGCCCCGCCUGGGGGAGUACGG
rnacentral:rRNA from 1 species